GAAGGGCUUAAGAAAAUAGGAGAUUUGAAACCUUGACGCUGGGCUGGGCUAAGAAGCUGUCCCUGGCCUCGGAGCAACGUGGUCUUGGGUGGCACCUCUGCGUGGGUCUUUGUCCUUCUUAUCAAGACCUGGGACCUGUUGGAUCAGGACCACCCUCCAGAUCUCAGUACCUCCAUCACCUGUUUAGAGACCCUGCUUUCAAAUACAGACACACUGCAGUGCCCUUGUGGCUUGAAUUUGGGGGAGAACAUCUCUGAAGAGUUUACUGUACAGGAUCUAUUGAAGCCCAUCCAUCCAAGGAGCUCCUGUUGGAAACAAACCGAAACGUUGUGCGCGGCUCUGUGCACAAGUCCCAUCUUCCACCAGCCCAGCCAUCUGCCUUCCUUGGUCCACAUCCAAGCUCCCCACGGCUGCUGGAGAAAAAUUGCACGACCGAGCAAAUUCGUGUUACUACAGAAUCUUGAUCUUCAACCCCAGCUGGGCCCUCGUGGGAGCAAGCAGUGCUGUGUGCUCUGUCACCCGUCCUCAGUGCCAACGACAUCAGGCUGUUCCUGUUGUCCCCGGCCCCUGCCCUGAACACUCUGCUGUGGACCUUGCCUCCUCCCGGCCAUCACUGGGUCCUUCUGUGUCUCAAAUUAGCUGUGAUGAAUCUUUUCUAUAACCCUAAAGAUUGCAUUUCUUGAAGCUUACCUUAAUUACAAGACCUUGUUCCACAUAAGGUCACAUUCUGA